rnacentral:rRNA from 1 species
ACGAACGCUGGCGGCACGCUUAACACAUGCAAGUCGAACGAGAGAAGAGAAGCUUGCUUUUCUGAUCUAGUGGCGGACGGGUGAGUAACACGUGAGCAAUCUGCCUUUCAGAGGGGGAUACCGAUUGGAAACGAUCGUUAAUACCGCAUAACAUAAUUGAACCGCAUGAUUUGAUUAUCAAAGAUUUAUCGCUGAAAGAUGAGCUCGCGUCUGAUUAGCUAGUUGGUAAGGUAACGGCUUACCAAGGCGACGAUCAGUAGCCGGACUGAGAGGUUGAUCGGCCACAUUGGGACUGAGACACGGCCCAGACUCCUACGGGAGGCAGCAGUGGGGAAUAUUGCACAAUGGAGGAAACUCUGAUGCAGCGAUGCCGCGUGAGGGAAGAAGGUUUUAGGAUUGUAAACCUCUGUCUUCAGGGACGAAAAAAGACGGUACCUGAGGAGGAAGCUCCGGCUAACUACGUGCCAGCAGCCGCGGUAAUACGUAGGGAGCGAGCGUUGUCCGGAAUUACUGGGUGUAAAGGGAGCGUAGGCGGGAUCGCAAGUCAGAUGUGAAAACUAUGGGCUUAACCCAUAAACUGCAUUUGAAACUGUGGUUCUUGAGUGAAGUAGAGGUAAGCGGAAUUCCUAGUGUAGCGGUGAAAUGCGUAGAUAUUAGGAGGAACAUCAGUGGCGAAGGCGGCUUACUGGGCUUUAACUGACGCUGAGGCUCGAAAGCGUGGGGAGCAAACAGGAUUAGAUACCCUGGUAGUCCACGCCGUAAACGAUGAUUACUAGGUGUGGGGGGACUGACCCCUUCCGUGCCGCAGCAAACGCAAUAAGUAAUCCACCUGGGGAGUACGACCGCAAGGUUGAAACUCAAAGGAAUUGACGGGGGCCCGCACAAGCAGUGGAGUAUGUGGAUUAAUUCGAAGCAACGCGAAGAACCUUACCAGGUCUUGACAUCGUAUGCAUAACUCAGAGAUGAGUGAAAUCUCUUCGGAGACAUAUAGACAGGUGGUGCAUGGUUGUCGUCAGCUCGUGUCGUGAGAUGUUGGGUUAAGUCCCGCAACGAGCGCAACCCUUACUGUUAGUUGCUACGCAAGAGCACUCUAGCAGGACUGCCGUUGACAAAACGGAGGAAGGUGGGGAUGACGUCAAAUCAUCAUGCCCCUUAUGACCUGGGCCUCACACGUACUACAAUGGCUGUUAACAGAGGGAUGCAAAGCCGCGAGGUGGAGCGAACCCCUAAAAGCAGUCUUAGUUCGGAUUGUAGGCUGCAACCCGCCUACAUGAAGUCGGAAUUGCUAGUAAUCGCAGAUCAGCAUGCUGCGGUGAAUACGUUCCCGGGCCUUGUACACACCGCCCGUCACGCCAUGGGAGUCGGUAACACCCGAAGCCUGUAGUCUAACCGCAAGGAGGACGCAGUCGAAGGUGGGAUUGAUGACUGGGGUG